GAUGAACGCUGGCGGCGUGCCUAAUACAUGCAAGUCGAGCGAACAGACGAGGAGCUUGCUCCUCUGACGUUAGCGGCGGACGGGUGAGUAACACGUGGAUAACCUACCUAUAAGACUGGGAUAACUUCGGGAAACCGGAGCUAAUACCGGAUAAUAUAUUGAACUGCAUGGUUCAAUAGUGAAAGACGGUUUUGCUGUCACUUAUAGAUGGAUCCGCGUCGCAUUAGCUAGUUGGUAAGGUAACGGCUUACCAAGGCGACGAUGCGUAGCCGACCUGAGAGGGGGAUCGGCCACACUGGAACUGAGACACGGUCCAGACUCCUACGGGAGGAAGCAGAAGGGAAUCUUCCGCAAUGAGCGAAAGCCUGACGGAGCAACGCCGCGUGAGUGAUGAAGGUCUUCGGAUCGUAAAACUCUGUUAUUAGGGAGGAACAAAUGUGUAAGUAACUAUGCACGUCUUGACGGUACCUAAUCAGAAAGCCACGGCUAACUACGUG
rnacentral:rRNA from 1 species